AACCAAGAAGGCUAAGUUAUAUUUUUUGGUAAAAAGACAGUUAAAUAAUAGUUGAAAAGUUGAUUAAAUAUCUGUAAAAGGGUAGAAUCUGAAUACGUAUAUAUAAUUCAGUCUUGACUUUAGUAUUGAAGCUGUGAUAGCCUUGAGGGAAACUGGGAUUAGAUACCCCAUUAUUCUUGGAUAUAAAUUAAUACAAAUUUACCAGAGUACUAUGAACUAUAUAAAGUUUAAAACUCAAAGGGCUUGGCGGUGCUUUAGACCCCUCAGGGGAACCUGUCUCAUAAUCGACAAUCCACGUUAUACCUAACCUCUUUUUGCUAUCAGUUUGUAUACCGUCGUCGUCAGGUAACUUUUAAAAAGUUAGAAGUUAGCAAAGAAAUUAAAAUGAGUUUGAACGUCAGAUCAAGGUGCAGUUUAUAAAGAGGUGAGGAUGGGUUACAAUUGUCUAAUUACAACUACAAAGAGAUUGGCUGAACUAGCUAGUUUUAAGGAGGACUUGAAAGUAAACUAGAUUAUAUAAAUAUUUUGAAUAAGGCUCUGAAGCGUGC
rnacentral:rRNA from 1 species